rnacentral:sRNA from 1 species
UAUCUUCCAUUUACAUAAAGUAUUGUUGAUCAUUUGAAAAUAGGGUGACAUCUUUCAGUAUAUUUAGCAGACAUUCUGAGAUGUUUAGUCAAAUUAGAGGGUUUUCUAUUGAAAGUCAUCUUAAAUAAGAGGAAAAAUCAAUAUUUCAUUUUGUUAACUUAUAACAUUUUCCAAAUAGGAUAAAAUGGUCAUUAAAAGGUAUAAAUGAAAAUAGCAAAGAGGACGAGGCAUAAUUGAUAAGGGAUAGUGUUGAAAUGACAUUCUUCGCAAUUAUUCUGUAAACAAUACGGUGCUAUUUUUUGGCGACACAUGUCAUCUUUUACUUUCAUAUUUUGACAGUUA